GUCACGCUGUAAACGAUGUCGAUUUGGAGGUUGUUCCCUGAGGAGUGGCUUCCGGAGCUAACGCGUUAAAUCGACCGCUGGGGAGUACGGCCGCAAGGUUAAAACUCAAAUGAAUUGACGGGGGCCCGCACAGCGGUGGAGCAUGUGGUUUAAUUCGAUGCAACGCGAAGAACCUUACCUACUCUUGACAUCCAGAGAAUUUAGCAGAGAUGCUUUAGUGCCUUCGGGAACUCUGAGACAGGUGCUGCAUGGCUGUCGUCAGCUCGUGUUGUGAAAUGUUGGGUUAAGUCCCGCAACGAGCGCAACCCUUAUCCUUUGUUGCCAGCACAUUAUGGUGGGAACUCAAAGGAGACUGCCGGUGAUAAACCGGAGGAAGGUGGGGAUGACGUCAAGCCAUCAUGGCCCUUACGAGUAGGGCUACACGCGUGCUACAAUGGCGUAUACAAAGAGAAGCGACCUCGCGAGAGCAAGCGGAACUCAUAAAGUACGUCGUAGUCCGGAUUGGAGUCUGCAACUCGCCUCCAUGAAGUCGGAAUCGCUAGUAAUCGUAGAUCAGAAUGCUACGGUGAAUACGUUCCCGGGCCUUGUACACACCGCCCGUCACACCAUGGGAGUGGGUUGCAAAAGAAGUAGGUAGCUUAACCUUCGGGAGGGCGCUUACCACUUUGUGAUUCAUGACUGGGGUGAAGUCGUAACAAGGUAACCA
rnacentral:rRNA from 1 species